UCCCUGGUGGUCUAGUGGCUAAGGAUCCCGUGCUCUCACCACGACAGCCUGGGUUCAAUUCCCAGCCAGGGAA
rnacentral:tRNA from 1 species